ACCUGGCUGGCUCAGUCAGUGGAGAGUGUGAUUUUUGAUCUCAGGGUCAUGAGCUCAAGUCCCAUGUUGGGUG
rnacentral:tRNA from 1 species